CUUGAAUUAUCUGGAGAAACUGAAGGAAGAUGAUUUCUCUCUAGAGCUGUAAUAACUUUUGAUAAUGUCACGGAAAGAGUUGCUCGGCAUCUUGGUUUGGAUGACCCAACCAAAAUCAAACUUACUCCUCACCACUGUUGCUUGCAGCAACCCAUAGCUCCAGCCAUUAAGUACCAUGGUUUUGACCACUUGUCUGAGAUGUUGAUUCACCACAAUCAGGUAAUUCAUCACUCUGAACCUAGCUUUCUAAGGCUUGCUCGAUCUUGUCAACUUAACUAUUACAUUUGAAUGCGUCGCUGAUACUUCCUUGAAGGGUUUUCCGACAGAAAUCUGAUAUUUUGUAUUUCGAAGUCUUGGACAUCCCUCCACCACUGUUGGAAGGUUUAAAAACUCUAAAUGUAUCUUUUCAUCAUGCAAAAAAAGAUACUGUCAUUCACCGAAUUAGACUUCCAAGCA